GAUCUCUGAGAUUGCUUUUGUGGCCUCUGGAACCAAUCUAUCUCUGCAGUUUUUUCCGGCAAAUUGGCAUGGAGAACAGCGGCAAACUCCCACACGAGAGUACGUGGACUUCGAGCGUGAUGUAGGCA